CUCCAGAUGGACACCUUAGCCUGCUCUGUGAAGGAGGAGCUGAAGGAAUAAUGCGGUUCUUUAGCUAUAAUUCUAGUUUGCACAAGAUCGCCCUCUGGAGGCCAAACAGAAGUAUGGAGACACACAAGAAGAGAGAAACUAAGAGACUUCACGGAAAAAUUGAAUGGACGAGUACAGCAGUCUUCUGAGUCAUUGCCUAUAACAGAUCACAUGGAAGCAUCAGAAUAAUCCUUAGGGCAGGGAAGUCCAAUCGAUUGACCCAGACUCAGUUUUGAGUAUGCAGCUGCUGGCAGGUAGAAAUUGAGCACCAUGACAAUUAAAACAAAAAUAUUACUUAGCUGUUGCUAAAAGAAGAAAGAAAGAAAGAAAAAAUUCCAGCCACUCCCCUAGAACAUCUCACAAAAUGAGCCAUUCCAAAAAACUAAAGCUAAGGACAAUAUGGAUAAGUUUCUGUAAAAUCUAAAUUGAGAAGUUAUAUCCAACAGGACUUGGUGAGUGUGCUAAAUUUGUCCUGAA
rnacentral:lncRNA from 1 species